AUGACUGUCCAUGAAAAAGAGUUCUUUUGAGAAAUAAAAGUACUUUUAAAGAGGAAGACGACUUCUGUCAACAAACAAACAAAGAGGAAGAAGACCUCUGUCAACAAACAAACAAAGAGGAAGAAGACCUCUGUCAACAAACAAAUGCCUGUCAGUUGCAGUCAAACAUCUUGAGUGAACUUCGGCCACACGUGAGGUAAACAUCGCUGGGUGAAGCAGUCCAACAUGAAGACCAUCCUCCAGGAUUAGUACACCUAGGAAAGCACCAACGACUGGACCUGGAUGAUCCCAAACUUGGUUCUGGGGUUCGGUUCAUCUGGUGUCGACUGAUACUCUCUGCGCUUUGAAAUAGGAACAAAGUCUGUGAAUUUCUAAAUGAAGUGUAAUUUAACAAUGAUUACUGGGAGCCAAUGCGAAUGAAUUCCAUUUUUUUCCAACAGCAUUUGUAGGCAUCAUCAAGCUUUGACUUUAGGGUUGUGAAAUUC